AGAGCGAACGCUGGCGGCAGGCCUAAAACAUGCAAGUCGAACGGACCCUUCGGGGUUAGUGGCGGACGGGUGAGUAACACGUGGGAACGUGCCUUUUGGUUCAGAACAACUCAGGGAAACUUGAGCUAAUACUGAAUAAGCCCUACGGGGGAAAGAUUUAUCGCCAUUAGAGCGGCCCGCGUUGGAUUAGCUAGUUGGUGAGGUAAAGGCUCACCAAGGCUACGAUCCAUAGCUGGUCUGAGAGGAUGAUCAGCCACACUGGGACUGAGACACGGCCCAGACUCCUACGGGAGGCAGCAGUUAGGAAUCUUGCGCAAUGGGCGAAAGCCUGACGCAGCCAUGCCGCGUGAAUGAUGAAGGUCUUAGGAUUGUAAAAUUCUUUCAGCGGGGAAGAUAAUGACUGUACCCGCAGAAGAAGCUCCGGCUAACUUCGUGCCAGCAGGCCGC
rnacentral:rRNA from 1 species